UAGUUGGGUUUUCUGUUGCUGACAUGUUUCCAUUUGACCUUAGAUUUUACAAUGGUUCUGCCAGUUUCGGUCAACACAAACCAACUUUCUUUUUAUUUUGGGGGUAAUAAUGAAGCAACAGUAAAAUAAGAAGAAAGAAAAAGAAAAAGAAAUGGGAGUCUAUUUCUUCAUUUAUAUAAGCAGGAAAUCACACAGAGCAUUUAAUUCACGCAUUAAGGCUAGCGCAUUUCUUAGAUAUCGUGGGGUCCUCUCAUUGCCGGAGGUAGGCCUAAAUAGUAGAUAUUUGAGAAACAUUUAGACUUGACACAUUUCGAUCCGAAGCAAGCUUGUUUUCAUUGAUAAUUUGGACUGAUAUAAGGGGAAUAAGGGUACAAAACGGGAAAGAAGGGGAAAUAAACCAACUCUAAUAACCAUCCCCGGAGUCGUUUUCCUAUCUCCUACUUCUUCUUAUGGAUCUUCUUCCGUAUUCCAAUCCAAAGAAGUAAAACAAGGUGGUUGAUAUUCUGUACUUCCUCUCUUAGGGUCGCCAUUUCGUUGGCCAUCCUGGCCACGCGUUCAUUAUUCCUGGUAUCAUCCUUCUCCCUUGAUCAGCCAGGGUUGUCGGCUAUGACCAGAACAUGUCUAGUCGGGUUUUCUGUAGCUGACAUAUUUCCUUUUGAUCUUAGAUUGUACGGUGGUUCUGCCAGUUUCGGUCGACACAAACCAACUUUCUUUUUAUUUUGGGGGUAAUAAUGAAACAACAGAAAAAAUAAGAAGACAGAAAAAGAAAAAGAAAGGGAGUCUAUUUCUUCAUUUAUAUAAGUAGAAAAUCACACAGAGCAUUUAAUUCACGCAUUAAGGCUAGCGCAUUUCAUAGAUAUCGUGGGGUCCUCUCAUUGCUGGAGGUAGGCCUAAAUAGUAGAUAUUUGACAGACAUUUAGACUUGACACAUUUCGAUUCGAAGCAAGUUUGUGUUCAUUGAUAAUUUGGACUGAUAUAAGGGGAAUAAGGGUACAAAGCGGGAAAGAAGGGGAAAUAAACCAACUCUAAUAACCUUCCCCGGAGUCGUUUCCCAUCUCCUACUUCUUCUUAUGGAUCUUCUUCCGAAUUCUAAUCCAAAGAAGGAAAACAAGGUGGUUGAUAUGUUGUACUUCCUCUCUUAGGAAUGCCAUUUCUUGGGCCAUCCUGGCCACGUGUUCAUUAUUCCUAGUAUCAUCCUUCUCCCUUGAUCACCCAGGGUUGUCGGCUAUGACCAGAGCAUGUUUAGUCAGGUUGUCUGUAGCUGACAUGCUUCCUUUUGAUCUUCGAUUGUACGGUGGUUCUGCAAGUUUAGGUCGACACAAAUCAACUUUCUUUUUAUUUUGGGGGUAAUAAUGAAGAAACAGAAAAAAAGAGAUGAAAGAAAAAGAAAAAGAAAUGGGAGUCUAUUUCUUCAUUUAUAUAAGCAGGAAAUCACGCAGAGCAUUUAAUUCACGCAUUUAGGCUAGCGCAUUUCUUAGAUAUCGUAGGGUCCUCUCAUUGCCGGAGGUAGGCCUAAAUAGUAGAUAUUUGACAAACAUUUAGACUUGACACAUUUAGAUCCGAAGCAAGUUUGUUUUCAUUGAUAAUUUGGACUGAUAUAAGGGGAAUAAGGGUACAAAGUGGGAAAGAAGGGGAAAUAAACCAACUCUAAUAACCAUCCCCGGAGUCGUUUCCCAUCUCCUACUUCUUCUUAAGGAUCUUCUUCCGAAUUCUAAUCCAAAGAAGGAAAACAAGGUGGUUGAUAUGUUGUACUUCCUCUCUUAGGAACGCC
rnacentral:lncRNA from 1 species